GACUUUGCGAGCGGCCUCCGUGUGUAAAAAAUAGGCCGCGGGUACAGACGGGCCCAAAAAUAACCUCCCGAAGGCCGGGGCGUCAAAUUCGUCCAGCGGAAAAAUGCCACAAAAACACGUGGGCUAUAGCCUUGGGGGGUGGGGCUGGCCAAGUUCGUCCGCCGGACUCGGAAUGGGACGAGACUUUGCGAGCGGCCUCCGUGUGCCAAAAAUAGGCCGUGGGCACAGCAGCGUACAUAGCAGUGGGCACAGCCGUGCCCAAAAAUAACCGCCCGAAGGUCGGGGCGCCAAGUUCGUCCAGCGGAAAAAGGCCACAAAAACGGGUGGGCUAAAGCCUUGGGGGGUGGGGCUGGCCAAGUUCGUCCGCCGGACUCGGAAUGGGGUGACACUUUUCGAGCGGCCUCCGUGUGCCAAAAAUAGGCCGCGUGCUCAGCCGCGCCCAAAAAUAACCUCCUGAAGGCCGGGGCGCCAAGUU
rnacentral:lncRNA from 1 species